UACGUAGGGGGCAAGCGUUGUCCGGAUUUAUUGGGCGUAAAGAGCUCGUAGGCGGUUUGUCGCGUCUGCCGUGAAAGUCCGGGGCUCAACUCCGGAUCUGCGGUGGGUACGGGCAGACUAGAGUGCAGUAGGGGAGACUGGAAUUCCUGGUGUAGCGGUGAAAUGCGCAGAUAUCAGGAGGAACACCGGUGGCGAAGGCGGGUCCCUGGACAGGUCCUGACGCUGAGGCACGAAAGCUAGGGGAGCAAACAGG
rnacentral:rRNA from 1 species